rnacentral:rRNA from 1 species
AACCUGCCCUUGACUCUGGGAUAAGCCCGGGAAACUGGGUCUAAUACUGGAUGCUACAUGUCACCGCAUGGUGGUGUGUGGAAAGGGUUUACUGGUCUUGGAUGGGCUCACGGCCUAUCAGCUUGUUGGUGAGGUAAUGGCUCACCAAGGCGACGACGGGUAGCCGGCCUGAGAGGGUGACCGGCCACACUGGGACUGAGACACGGCCCAGACUCCUACGGGAGGCAGCAGUGGGGAAUAUUGCACAAUGGGCGAAAGCCUGAUGCAGCGACGCCGCGUGAGGGAUGACGGCCUUCGGGUUGUAAACCUCUUUCAGCAGGGAAGAAGCCACAAGUGACGGUACCUACAGAAGAAGCGCCGGCUAACUACGUGCCAGCAGCCGCGGUAAUACGUAGGGCGCAAGCGUUGUCCGGAAUUAUUGGGCGUAAAGAGCUCGUAGGCGGUUUGUCGCGU